rnacentral:rRNA from 1 species
GUGGGGAAUAUUGGACAAUGGGCGAAAGCCUGAUCCAGCCAUGCCGCGUGUGUGAAGAAGGUCUUCGGAUUGUAAAGCACUUUAAGUUGGGAGGAAGGGUAGUAACCUAAUACGUUGCUACUUUGACGUUACCGACAGAAUAAGCACCGGCUAACUUCGUGCCAGCAGCCGCGGUAAUACGAAGGGUGCAAGCGUUAAUCGGAAUUACUGGGCGUAAAGCGCGCGUAGGUGGUUCAGCAAGUUGGAGGUGAAAUCCCCGGGCUCAACAUGGGAACUGCCUCCAAAACUACUGAGCUGGAGUACGGUAGAGGGUAGUGGAAUUUCCUGUGUAGCGGUGAAAUGCGUAGAUAUAGGAAGGAACACCAGUGGCGAAGGCGACCACCUGGACUGAUACUGACACUGAGGUGCGAAAGCGUGGGGAGCAAACAGGAUUAGAAACCCUGGUAGUCC